rnacentral:rRNA from 1 species
GACGAACGCUGGCGGCGUGCUUAACACAUGCAAGUCGAACGGAACUCUUUGGAUCGAGACUUCGGUCAAGUGAAUCUGAGUUUAGUGGCGGACGGGUGAGUAACGCGUGAGGAACCUGCCUUUCAGAGGGGGACAACAGUUGGAAACGACUGCUAAUACCGCAUAACGCAUAUUGAUCGCAUGGUCUAUAUGCCAAAGAUUUAUCGCUGAAAGAUGGCCUCGCGUCUGAUUAGCUAGUUGGUGAGGUAACGGCCCACCAAGCCGACGAUCGGUAGCCGGACUGAGAGGUUGAACGGCCACAUUGGGACUGAGACACGGCCCAGACUCCUACGGGAGGCAGCAGUGGGGAAUAUUGCACAAUGGGGGAAACCCGUGAUGCAGCAACGCCGCGUGAGGGAAGACGGUUUCGAGUGUAACCUACUGUCCUCUGUGAAGAAGAAAAGUAGACGGUAGGCAGAGGAGGAAG